GAGUUUGAUCCUGGCUCAGAAUGAACGUUGGCGGCGUGGAUUAGGCAUGCAAGUCGAGCGCGAACCCCGCAAGGGGGGAAAGCGGCGAAAGGGACAGUAAUACGUAGAUAUCUGCCCUCGGGUCCGGGAUAGCUGCGGGAAACUGCAGGUAAUACCGGAUAACAUCUCCGGAUCAAAGGUGUGAUUCCGCCUGAGGAUGAGUCUGCGUCCUAUUAGCUUGUUGGUAAGGUAACGGCUUACCAAGGCAAUGAUGGGUAGCGGGUGUGAGAGCACGACCCGCGUCACUGGGACUGAGACACUGCCCAGACACCUACGGGUGGCUGCAGUCGAGGAUCUUCGGCAAUGGGCGCAAGCCUGACCGAGCGACGCCGCGUGCGGGAUGAAGGCUUUCGGGUUGUAAACCGCUGUCAGAGGGGAUGAAAUGUAGGUGGGUUCUCCCAUCUAUUUGACAUAUCCUCAGAGGAAGUACGGGCUAAGUUCGUGCCAGCAGCCGCGGUAAGACGAACCGUACGAACGUUAUUCGGAAUUACUGGGCUUAAAGGGUGCGUAGGCUGCGCGGAAAGUUGGGUGUGAAAUCCCUCGGCUCAACCGAGGAACUGCGCCCAAAACUGCCGUGCUCGAGGGAGACAGAGGUGAGCGGAACUUAGGGUGGAGCGGUGAAAUGCGUUGAUAUCCUAAGGAACACCCGUGGCGAAAGCGGCUCACUGGGUCUCUUCCGACGCUGAGGCACGAAAGCUAGGGUAGCGAACGGGAUUAGAUACCCCGGUAGUCCUAGCCGUAAACGAUGAGCACUGGGUUGGAGGGCCCCUCAUAGCCUUCCAGCCGCAGCGAAAGUGUUUAGUGCUCCGC
rnacentral:rRNA from 1 species